rnacentral:rRNA from 1 species
GAUGAACGCUGGCGGCGUGCCUAAUACAUGCAAGUCGAGCGAACAGAUGAGGAGCUUGCUCCUCUGACGUUAGCGGCGGACGGGUGAGUAACACGUGGAUAACCUACCUAUAAGACUGGGAUAACUUCGGGAAACCGGAGCUAAUACCGGAUAAUAUAUUGAACCGCAUGGUUCAAUAGUGAAAGACGGUUUUGCUGUCACUUAUAGAUGGAUCCGCGCCGCAUUAGCUAGUUGGUAAGGUAACGGCUUACCAAGGCAACGAUGCGUAGCCGACCUGAGAGGGUGAUCGGCCACACUGGAACUGAGACACGGUCCAGACGCCUACGGGAGGCAGCAGUAGGGAAUCUUCCGCAAUGGGCGAAAGCCUGACGGAGCAACGCCGCGUGAGUGAUGAAGGUCUUCGGAUCGUAAAACUCUGUUAUUAGGGAAGAACAAAUGUGUAAGUAACUAUGCACGUCUUGACGGUACCGAAUCAGAAAGCCACGGCUAACUACGUG